ACUGCAAGCUGCGCUAUCGUUCCCUGCUUUUGGCGGGGGAAGGAAAGUCCGGACAGCAAAGGGCAACGCACCACCUAACGGGUGGGUAUCCGCCUCAGGCGGAUAACAGAAAGUGCCACAGAAAAUAACUGCCGAUCAUGCACCGCAUGAGGUGAGGGUGAAAAUGUAGGGUAAGAGCCUACGGGGAUUGCUGGCAACAGCAGUCCGGGGUAAACCUUGCGUGCUGAAAUGCCAAAUAUAUCCCGCUUUUGGGCUGCCCGUCCAGGUUUCGUGCAAACGGACGGCGGGAGUGGGUAGGCAGAUAGAGGCAGCCAGCGAUGGCUGUCCCAGAUAAAUGAUAGCACUUCUGCGCAAGCAGAUGACAGAAUCCGGCUUACAGGCUUGCAGUAUUU
rnacentral:RNase_P_RNA from 1 species